CCGAGGCGGGGCGUCGGGACGUCACGUCGACGCUCUCAACACCUGCUGUAUAUCAAACGAUAAUUUGUUUGUGUUUUCUGGUGUGUGGAUCGUGUUAAUUUUGUUUUAGGCGGACAUAUGGAUCUACAGGAUGGGAUCUUAAAAUUGCCGCCACUUUUCACUAAGAUGGCGCCCAUGAGUGGUUUCAAGUUUGACGUGUUGCCAGCCUUAACACCAUAAACGUACAUUUUUACCCAUUUACUAGUAUAAAUCAAUAAAUGUGUUAUAUUCAUAAUAGAAUAUGAUAAGAAGAGUUAUAUUAAUAUAAAGAAAUAUAAAUAUCUUCAGAA